rnacentral:tRNA from 1 species
UCCCUGGUGGUCCAGUGGUUAGGACAUCGGCUUCCAGUGCAGGGGGUGUGGGUUCAAUCCCCAGGCAGGGAG